rnacentral:rRNA from 1 species
UACGUAGGGGGCAAGCGUUGUCCGGAUUUAUUGGGCGUAAAGAGCUCGUAGGUGGUUUGGUAAGUCGGAUGUGAAAUCUCCAGGCUCAACCUGGAGGGGUCAUUCGAUACUGCCAUGACCAGAGGUCGGUAGGGGAGUGUGGAAUUCCUGGUGGAGCGGUGAAAUGCGCAGAUAUCAGGAGGAACACCCGUAGCGAAGGCGGCACUCUGGGCCGAUUCUGACACUGAGGAGCGAAAGCGUGGGGAGCGAACAGG